UUCAAGUGCUGCCAUGAAUUUUUUUUUCAACUUUGAUCGUCCGUCUUAGUUGAAAUUUUUUUAUGAUUAAUAUUUUUAUUGUUAUUAGAUGAUAAAACAUGAAUAAUACUUUAUGCGUGACUUAUGUUUUUUAAUAUUUUCAAUUUUUUAAAUAAGAUGGACAAUUAAAGUUAUUCAUGGCCGUGCUUAAA
rfam:Oryza meridionalis cultivar OR44 (W2112) chromosome 7, whole genome shotgun sequence.